CCUACGGGGGGCAGCAGUGGGGGAUAUUGCACAAUGGGGGGAACCCUGAUGCAGCGACGCCGCGGGGGUGAAGAAGCGCCUCGGCGCGUAAAGCCCUGUCAGCAGGGAAGAAAAUGACGGUACCUGAAGAAGAAGCCCCGGCUAACUACGUGCCAGCAGCCGCGGUAAUACGUAGGGGGAAAGCGUUAUCCGGAUUUACUGGGUGGAAAGGGGGCGCAGACGGCGAUGCAAGCCAGGAGUGAAAGCCCGGGGCCCAACCCCGGGACUGCUCUUGGAACUGCGUGGCUGGAGUGCAGGAGGGGCAGGCGGAAUUCCUGGUGUAGCGGUGAAAUGCGUAGAUAUCAGGAGGAACACCGGUGGCGAAGGCGGCCUGCUGGACUGCAACUGACGUUGAGGCCCGAAAGCGUGGGGAGCAAACAGGAUUAGAUACCCUUGUAGUC
rnacentral:rRNA from 1 species